UACGUAGGUGGCAAGCGUUUGUCCGGAUUUACUGGGCGUAAAGAGCGCGCAGGCGGUCGUUCAAGUCGCGUGUGAAAGCCCCCGGCUCAACUGGGGAGGGUCACGCGAUACUGACCGACUCGAAGGCAGGAGGGGGUAGUGGAAUUCCCGGUGUAGUGGUGAAAUGCGUAGAUAUCGGGAGGAACACCAGUGGCGAAGGCGACUACCUGGCCUGUUCUUGACGCUGAGGCGCGAAAGCUAGGGGAGCAAACGGGG
rnacentral:rRNA from 1 species